GUCCUUUUGAAUUUAAUUUAAGGUUUGACCUGCCCACUGAUUUAUAUUUGAAGGGCCGCAGUAAUUUGACUGUGCAAAGGUAGCAUAAUCAUUAGUUUUUUAAUUGAAAGCUUGUAUGAAGGGUUGGACGAGGUAAAUUCUGUCUCUAUUUAAUUUAAUAUAGAAUUUAAUUUUUAAGUUAAAAAGCUUAAAUUUAAUUAAAAGACGAGAAGACCCUAUAGAUCUUUAUAUAAUUUUAAUUAAAUUUAAUAAGGAUUUUUUUAUUUUUUAAUUGAAAUUAAUAUUUUAUUGGGGUAAUAAAAAGAUUUAAAUAAUUCUUUUUUUAUUUAUACAUUAAUAAAUGAAUCUAUGAUCCAAUAUUAUUGAUUAAAAGAUUAAGUUACCUUAGGGAUAACAGCGUAAUAUUUUUAGAGAGUUCAUAUCGAUAAAAAAGUUUGCGACCUCGAUGUUGGAUUAAAAAUUAUUUUAGGUGUAGGAGCUUGAAAUUUUGGUCUGUUCGACCAUUAAAUUUUU
rnacentral:rRNA from 1 species